rnacentral:rRNA from 1 species
GACGGAGGAUGCAAGUGUUAUCCGGAAUCACUGGGCGUAAAGCGUCUGUAGGUGGUCAAAUAAGUCAACUGUUAAAUCUUGAGGCUUAACCUCAAAAUCGCAGUCGAAACUAUUAGACUAGAGUAUAGUAGGGGUAAAGGGAAUUUCCAGUGGAGCGGUGAGAUGCGUAGAGAUUGGAAAGAACACCGAUGGCGAAGGCACUUUACUGGGCUAUUACUAACACUCAGAGACGAAAGCUAGGGUAGCAAAUGGG